GACGAACGCUGGCGGCGUGCUUAACACAUGCAAGUCGAGCGGUAAGGCCCUUUCGGGGGUACACGAGCGGCGAACGGGUGAGUAACACGUGGGUGACCUGCCCUUAGCUCUGGGAUAAGCCUGGGAAACUGGGUCUAAUACCGGAUAUGACUCCAUGACGCAUGUUGUGGGGUGGAAAGCCUUGUGCGGCUAGGGAUGGGCCCGCGGCCUAUCAGCUUGUUGGGUGGGGUGAUGGCCACCAAGGCGACGACGGGUAGCCGGCCUGAGAGGGCGACCGGCCACACUGGGACUGAGACACGGCCCAGACUCCUACGGGAGGCAGCAGUGGGGAAUCUUGCGCAAUGGGCGAAAGCCUGACGCAGCGACGCCGCGUGGGGA
rnacentral:rRNA from 1 species